GUUGGCAUCGGAACGUAAGAGAAAGUCCUUGCGUGUAUCGCUAUAUCGCUAUAUCGUUAUAUUGUCUUCUUCACUCGACGGCUUAAAUCAGAUUUCUGAUGCAUCGCUUGGAAUGAAAGUUGUUGUAUCGGUUUGCCGAUAUAGGCGUUAAAUCGAUAUGUCGCGAUAUAUCGAUUUAUAGCCCAGUCCUAUUCAGAAUACUAA